rnacentral:rRNA from 1 species
AAAACGACUCUCGGCAACGGAUAUCUCGGCUCUCGCAUCGAUGAAGAACGCAGCGAAAUGCGAUACUUGGUGUGAAUUGCAGAAUCCCGCGAACCAUCGAGUCUUUGAACGCAAGUUGCGCCCGAAGCCUUUCGGCCGAGGGCACGUACUGCCUGGGUGUCACGC